CCUAACACAUGCAAGUCGAACGCCGUAGCAAUACGGAGUGGCAGACGGGUGAGUAACACGUGGGAACGUACCUUUCGGUUUCGGGAAUAACUACAGGGAACUUGAGCUAAUACCGGAUACGUGCGAGAGCAGAAAGAUUUAUCGCCGAAAGAUCGGCCCGCGUCCGAUUAGCUUGUUGGUGAGGUAAUGGCUCACCAAGGCGACGAUCGGUAGCUGGUCUGAGAGGAUGAUCAGCCACACUGGGACUGAGACACGGCCCAGACUCCUACGGGAGGCAGCAGUGGGGAAUAUUGGACAAUGGGCGAAAGCCUGAUCCAGCCAUGCCGCGUGAGUGAUGAAGGCCUUAGGGUUGUAAAGCUCUUUUGUCCGGGAAGAUAAUGACGGUACCGGAAGAAUAAGCCCCGGCUAACUUCGUG
rnacentral:rRNA from 1 species